GAGGAAGUAGCAUAAUGGUAUGCAACAGACUUACAUGCCUGAGGUUCUGAAGUCCAAGGUUCAAGCCUUUGCAUUUCCA
rnacentral:tRNA from 1 species